rnacentral:rRNA from 1 species
CACGUAGGGGACGAGCGUUGUCCGGAUUCAUUGGGCGUAAAGGGCGCGUAGGCGGUUUGUUAAGUCGGUCGUGAAAGCCCGGGGCUCAACCCCGGAGGGUCGACCGAUACUGGCAGACUAGAGUACAGAAGAGGUAACUGGAAUUCCCGGUGUAGCGGUGAAAUGCGUAGAUAUCGGGGAGGAACACCAGAGGCGAAGGCGGGUUACUGGGCUGAUACUGACGCUGAUGCGCGAAAGCCAGGGGAGCAAACGGG